AUGCAGCAACAACAUUAAGGGAGGUAAAGGAGGAGAUUGGGCUUGAUCCAGCCUUGAUUUGCUUAAGAUCACGGAAGCUUGGGUUGAUGGAGUGCUUGUAUUUAGUUUUUGUUUUGACCUUGUGAAACUUGUUACCUAUGGAUGAAACUGUGUAAUAUUGAUGAAACUAUGUAUAUGUACGGAUGAAACUUGCUACUAUUGGUAACAUGUAUUGGAUAUAUGUGUUCAUGACUA